rnacentral:rRNA from 1 species
AUUGAACGCUGGCGGCAUGCUUUACACAUGCAAGUCGAACGGUAACAGGUUAAGCUGACGAGUGGCGAACGGGUGAGUAAUGCAUCGGAACGUGCCCGGUCGUGGGGGAUAACGCAGCGAAAGCUGCGCUAAUACCGCAUACGAUCUGAGGAUGAAAGCGGGGGACCGUAAGGCCUCGCGCGAUCGGAGCGGCCGAUGUCAGAUUAGGUAGUUGGGGGGGUAAAGGCUCACCAAGCCAACGAUCUGGAGCUGGUCUGAGAGGACGACCAGCCACAGUGGGACUAGUACACGGGCCAGCAGCCUACGGGGGGCAGGAGUGGGGAAUUUUUGACAAUGGGGGAAGGCCUGAUCCAGCAAUGCCGCGUGCAGGAAGAAGGCGUUCGGGUUGUAAACUGCUGUUGUACGGAGCGAAAAGGCCUCCUCUAAUAGAGGGGGCUCAUGACGGUACCGAAAGAAUAAGCACCGGCUAACUACGUGCCAGCAGCCGCCGUAA